CGCCGCUGCUCCAGCCCAACAUGGCGAUGCACAACAAGGCGGCCCCGCCGCAGAUCCCGGACACCCGGCGGGAGCUGGCGGAGCUCGUGAAGCGGAAGCAGGAGCUGGCGGAAACACUGGCAAACUUGGAGAGACAGAUCUAUGCUUUUGAAGGAAGCUACCUGGAAGAUACUCAGAUGUAUGGCAAUAUUAUUCGUGGCUGGGAUCGCUAUCUGACCAACCAAAAAAACUCCAACAGCAAAAAUGAUCGAAGGAACCGGAAGUUUAAAGAAGCUGAGCGGCUCUUCAGUAAAUCUUCAGUCACGUCGGCAGCUGCUAUAAGUGCGCUGGCAGUUCAGGACCAGCUCAUUGAAAAGAGGGAACCAGGAAGUGGGACAGAAAGUGACACUUCUCCGGACUUCCACAAUCAGGAAAAUGAGCCCAGCCAGGAGGACCCUGAGGAUCUGGAUGGAUCUGUGCAGGGAGUGAAGCCCCAGAAGGCUGCUUCUUCCACUUCCUCAGGAAGUCAUCAUAGCAGCCAGAAAAAAAUGCAAGAAUAAAAACCGGCACAGGUCAGUGGCAGGGACCCCGCCCCCACAGCUCCGAUGACUGUUGGUAUGAAGCGCCCUUCCUAGAGCCAGAGAGCUCAGGAUGGACAGAAGUCCGUGACUCCAAAUGAAACCACCUCAUGUUGUAAGGGAGGAGUUGGUGGGCAGUAGAGUGACCCUAAAAAAGGACUCCAGGACAUCCUUCCACUGUUGCUAGCGCAGAACCCUAUCCCUAACCCCAAGAACAUUGUUUAACAUGAUGAAUUUGAAAUCCUUUCAGAAGAGAAAAAGGGGGACUAGAAAUGAAAUCUGUGUAAAUUUGAAAAAUGACACUAGUGUAUGUUGGGGAAAGUGGGAUAAUCUUUUGUUCCUACUCCUGAUCCCUGCCUACUCUUAUGAGAAUUGAUUUAAUGUGCCUUUAAAAAGAAUUUUAAAUACAAGCUUUUUGA